rnacentral:rRNA from 1 species
GCGUAAUAGCUCACUGGUCAAGUGAUUCCGCGCCGACAAUGUAGCGGGGCUCAAGUCAUCCGCCGAAGCUAUGGCAUUCGUACAUCAACCACCAACGUGGGUACGGAUGGGUAGGGGAGCGUCGUGUUCCGAGUGAAGCGACAGAGUGAUCUAGUCGUGGAUGGGACACGAGUGAGAAUGCAGGCAUGAGUAGCGAAUGACGUGUGAGAAACACGUCCGCCGAAUGAUCAAGGGUUCCAGGGUCAAGCUAAUCUGCCCUGGGUAAGUCGGGACCUAAGGCGAGGCCGACAGGCGUAGUCGAUGGACAACGGGUUGAUAUUCCCGUACCGGCAAAGUAGCGCCCAUGACGAACCUGGUGAUGCUAACCAUCCGAAGCCACCCAUGACCGAUCCCUUCGGGGUGAGGCGGGGUGGUGGAGCAUGGGACCCGAGCUGGUAGUAGUCAAGCGAUGGGGUGACGCAGGAAGGUAGCCCAACCACAGCGAUGGUUGUCUGUGGCCAAGCGUGUAGGGAGUCAGAUAGGCAAAUCCGUCUGACGGUGCAUCAGCACGAUCCUGAGACGUGAUGGGGACCCCGUAUGGGGGAAGUGGGUGAUCCUAUGCUGUCGAGAAAAACCUCUAGCGAGCUACGCGCCGCCCGUACCCCAAACCGACUCAGGUGAUCAGGUAGAGAAUACCAAGGCGAUCGAGCGAACCAUGGUUAAGGAACUCGGCAAAAUGCCCCCGUAACUUCGGGAGAAGGGGGGCCCGGAUCGUGUACCCACCAGCUGGGGAAGCGUGAAGGGCCGCAGAGACCAGGGGAAAGCGACUGUUUACUAAAAACACAGGUCCGUGCGAAGUUGUAAGACGAUGUAUACGGACUGACUCCUGCCCGGUGCUGGAAGGUUAAGAGGACCUGUUAGAGAGCAAUCUCGAAGCGGGAAUUUAAGCCCCAGUAAACGGCGGUGGUAACUAUAACCAUCCUAAGGUAGCGAAAUUCCUUGUCGGGUAAGUUCCGACCUGCACGAAUGGAGUAACGACUUUCCCACUGUCUCAACCGUGGACUCGGCGAAAUUGCACUACGAGUAAAGAUGCUCGUUACGCGCGGCAGGACGGAAAGACCCCGGGACCUUUACUAUAGUUUGGUAUUGGUGUUUGGUUCGGCUUGUGUAGGAUAGGUGGGAGACUGUGAAGCAGCCACGCCAGUGGUUGUGGAGUCAUCGUUGAAAUACCACUCUGGUCGUACUAGAUGUCUAACCUAGGUCCGUUAUCCGGAUCAGGGACAGUGCCUGAUGGGUAGUUUAACUGGGGCGGUUGCCUCCUAAAAUGUAACGGAGGCGCCCAAAGGUUCCCUCAACCUGGUUGGCAAUCAGGUGGCGAGUGUAAGUGCACAAGGGAGCUUGACUGUGAGACAGACAUGUCGAGCAGGGACGAAAGUCGGAACUAGUGAUCCGGCCACGGCAUGUGGAAGCGUGGUCGCUCAACGGAUAAAAGGUACCCCGGGGAUAACAGGCUGAUC